UGGCGAACGGGUGAGUAACACGUGAGGAACCUGCCUCAAAGAGGGGACAACAGUUGGAAACGACUGCUAAUACCGCGUAAGCCCACGGGUCGGCAUCGACCUGAGGGAAAAGGAGCAAUCCGCUUUGAGAUGGCCUCGCGUCCGAUUAGCUAGUUGGUGAGGUAACGGCCCACCAAGGCGACGAUCGGUAGCCGGACUGAGAGGUUGAACGGCCACAUUGGGACUGAGACACGGCCCAG
rnacentral:rRNA from 1 species